CAAAGCUGCAAUUUUCGUUGGCUCGAGGCGAAUCGAGAAGGCAGAAGCUCGACGGCGCACGAUGGCGACAAGUCCUGCCGCCAAUGUGCGCUUCGAACAACGAGGGUUACUUCGCUAUCAUCCUCGAGGAUCCCACGAUCAACGAGAUUAAAUUAACGUGUGCAUGCGAUCUGUUUAAAAAAUUUCUCAGUCAGGAUCUCUCGUUAGCAAUCUCUCGAUUGCUGGAUUCUUUUUUUUUUUUUUACAAAAUUCACGAUUCGUGAUUGAAAUACUAAUUUGAAACACUUUGAGUAUAAGAUUGCAGAAGUGUGAUUAAAAUUCGAGAAUAAUAAAGGAUAUACAUAUAAAGAUUGUAGAAAAUUUUUAAAAAUGGAAUGUGGGAUCUGUAUUUUCCAAAUUAUGCACAUUGAUUUUUUUUUCUCAUCAUUGCGAAAGGUUUAUUGCGACCUAGGAUUCUACGUUCCAUUUUUGAAAAUUACUGUACGUGGCUUACCUUUUCUCUAUAUUAUAUUUCUUUCAUUCAUCAUUAUUUCGUAAAAUAUUUAUAAUUCGCUAAUUACAAUUUUCGUAAUUAAACAUAGGAUUACUAAUACGUAACAUGUACGAUAAAUAUUUUAAUAUUUGGAAUAUGAUUUCUCAUAUUUCUAAUUCUUUUUCUUUCUUUUUUAAUAUAAUUCAAUUUUCUAAAUUCUCGAAAUUGCAAUCUCUCUCAAAAAUAUUAGAGUUGUGUGUCGUGUGUCGUGCAUAUACAUCACAGUUGAAAAGGGCAGGGACGCGUCCAAGAUCGCCGGCAAACCGGAGAAAGUUUAAAUUAACUCGCAAUAUCUGGCGGCUGUUAGCUACGCCAACUCUGAUCCAAAGCACGGCCGCAGACAUAAUAGUUGCAUUAUCGCUGCCAACGGGUAUUUCCUAGCUGGCAUUUCGAGAAGAGAUGAUCGGACAGUUUAAACGUUCGGGCCAACACUUAAUCGAUCGGGCCGCGGUGGUUAUCAGCACCGAAAUAGAGGCGCGACUAGUGGGAAGAGCAAAUGUGAACUUUGUUCGACAGUUAGCGGAGCGAAUUUGGACGAAAAACGACGAAAAAUCAACCAUUUCGAGGAUUUCUCUCAAGUUAGCAUCAACGAAAUCAACUUGGACGUAUACUUUUUCGCGAUGGAUUCAUCCUUUUAAUAUAACAGCAUGUAGAAAUCAUUUGGACGCCGCUUCUCUCGUCACGGAUAACUGGUAAAAGGAUGGAAAUUAACUUCAAAAGAUCGCCUACGUUUUUCUUCCAAUAUAUAACGCAAUCGACUUCAAUCUUCCAGUUAUUUGCGAAAGACAUUAACAAAAUUACAACAUUGAAUUCUUUUUACUAUUUCUCUAAGUUAAAAAGAAAAAAUAUGAGAUGGAGUAAAAAACGUAUGUAUAUACUGUGAA